UAAGUUGCAGGGUAUAGACCCGAAACCCGGUGAUCUAGCCAUGGGCAGGUUGAAGGUUGGGUAACACUAACUGGAGGACCGAACCGACUAAUGUUGAAAAAUUAGCGGAUGACUUGUGGCUGGGGGUGAAAGGCCAAUCAAACCGGGAGAUAGCUGGUUCUCCCCGAAAGCUAUUUAGGUAGCGCCUCGUGAAUUCAUCUCCGGGGGUAGAGCACUGUUUCGGCAAGGGGGUCAUCCCGACUUACCAACCCGAUGCAAACUGCGAAUACCGGAGAAUGUUAUCACGGGAGACACACGGCGGGUGCUAACGUCCGUCGUGAAGAGGGAAACAACCCAGACCGCCAGCUAAGGUCCCAAAGUCAUGGUUAAGUGGGAAACGAUGUGGGAAGGCCCAGACAGCCAGGAUGUUGGCUUAGAAGCAGCCAUCAUUUAAAGAAAGCGUAAUAGCUCACUGGUCGAGUCGGCCUGCGCGGAAGAUGUAACGGGGCUAAACCAUGCACCGAAGCUGCGGCAGCGACACUAUGUGUUGUUGGGUAGGGGAGCGUUCUGUAAGCCUGUGAAGGUGGCCUGUGAGGGUUGCUGGAGGUAUCAGAAGUGCGAAUGCUGACAUAAGUAACGAUAAAGCGGGUGAAAAGCCCGCUCGCCGGAAGACCAAGGGUUCCUGUCCAACGUUAAUCGGGGCAGGGUGAGUCGACCCCUAAGGCGAGGCCGAAAGGCGUAGUCGAUGGGAAACAGGUUAAUAUUCCUGUACUUGGUGUUACUGCGAAGGGGGGACGGAGAAGGCUAUGUUGGCCGGGCGACGGUUGUCCCGGUUUAAGCGUGUAGGCUGGUUUUCCAGGCAAAUCCGGAAAACCAAGGCUGAGGCGUGAUGACGAGGCACUACGGUGCUGAAGCGACAAAUGCCCUGCUUCCAGGAAAAGCCUCUAAGCAUCAGGUAACAUCAAAUCGUACCCCAAACCGACACAGGUGGUCAGGUAGAGAAUACCAAGGCGCUUGAGAGAACUCGGGUGAAGGAACUAGGCAAAAUGGUGCCGUAACUUCGGGAGAAGGCACGCUGAUAUGUAGGUGAAGCGACUUGCUCGUGGAGCUGAAAUCAGUCGAAGAUACCAGCUGGCUGCAACUGUUUAUUAAAAACACAGCACUGUGCAAACACGAAAGUGGACGUAUACGGUGUGACGCCUGCCCGGUGCCGGAAGGUUAAUUGAUGGGGUUAGCGG
rnacentral:rRNA from 1 species